rnacentral:lncRNA from 1 species
CUAUAGCUGUCAUAAGCUUUGGACUACCCCAUUCUUUAAUAACAAAAAUAAAAACAUAAUGCUAAUAUUGUGCUAAUAAAUUGGCUUUACUAAAAGAACAUGCUAAAAACGUCGUCCACAUUUAGCUGGUCAUCUUUGUUUGAAAGUGCAACUUUUAAAGGACAUCGGGAAAAAAGUAGUUAAGUCAAUAUGUAGUUUUAUGUACUAUUUAAAAAACGAGCAGGAGUGUUUUAUUAGGUUUAAAGCCACGAGCGCGCAGCGCGAGUGGCUUUAGACCUAAUAAAACACGACCUGGGAGUUUUUUAAAUGGCUUCAAAAACGUUUGCAUAAUAAGUCAAAUCUGAAUAUGGAAAAUCU